AAGAAAACCUUCUCUUCUCUUGACACAUCAUCCCUUAUAAUUGUGAAAACUGUGUCCAGCUAAGCAAUUUGUCUGACGUGUCAUGCUCUCCCCAUUUCUAAAUCCAUCGUUCGAAAGCCUGACGGUUCUCUUCUUCUCUAGGCCCAUCAAUGUCGCAAGCCUUGUGAGAGGGAGUGAACCCAAUCGAUCCUCAUCAAUCCUCCGCCUCCCUGCGUCCCUUCGCCGCAAAUCCCAACGAUGACAGCACAAACCCCGUUCUUCCUCAGCCAAUUGUCUGCCCGCUACCCAGCUUUGAAGCUUCGCCAUACUCGCUUAAUCUCAACGCCCCUCCCUUGUGAUGCAAUCGACGAGCUCAUGCACCCAGUGAUGCCUACACGGACGUUGAUCACGAUAUAUUGAUUACUUACAGAUCUUACGAGGGAGCCGAAGGUUGUCGCAAAAUCACAACAAUUCACAGCGUGCUCAAGACUUAGCUAACGUUGCUACAAUGUUUGUGGCCAUGUCAUACAAGGAUUAGUUCAAAAUUUUGCAGAUUAGUUCAAGGAAUAUUUCUGGAGGGAUUGGUGAAAGUUGUUAAGUAUAAAUGAUAAAUCAUGUAAUUCAGAACUUAAGGUUGUGAAUUCACCCUGAUCUAUGAGCUUUUGGAGAACAAACCAGGUAAUUAGGAGGAGUAGUCUAUAGCCUUUAUUUCGAGUUGGAGUCCUUGCUCUGAUACGUAGCACUCGGGGGGGAAAUGGACGCUUGUUUUCCUUCUGUUAUAAUUUGAAUUAAGUUGUUAUUUGAGAAGUUGUUUCUGUUUUAAGUUGUGGGCAAGAUACUAUGUUUUCUUUAAGUUUUAAAGACACUGGAUUCGCUGCAUAACUAUUUGUCAAAGUGAACUAGUUCAAAGACUAAUUAACUGUCACAAGAGCAUUUAAGUUUAUUUAUGAGUUCAUCUCAAAGUUUAUGUGCUAUGUAUCUGUUACAGGAGCAUUAUGAUAAUGUUUUAAGUGAUUAUGUAAUGCCCCAUGAGUGUUAGAAUU